ensembl:lncRNA
CUAUUUAUAUUCUCUCUAAGAAGAAAAAUACAGCUUUGUUUUACUACCUAAGCUAAUCAUAGAUCUUUCUGUGUGAAAUCAUGAUAAUUCUGGUUUUUUACUGACUGUGACAGAUUUUGUCCCAGAGAGGUGAACAGAGCACUGGCCUAGAAGCUAGGAGGCCAUUGAUCAUCUUUGUCCUUGUGAUGAUGAGCUGGGCAUCAGGCAUCAGCCGUGAAACGGAGGGUCUUUCAGCCUGGAAAAGUCUCACUCGAGAAGAGGGGCUCAAUGGGUCCUCACAUCAAACUCCUCUCAGGAAAUGAAUCAUCAUCCCUGUGACAAAAUUCAAAAUGUCGCCCUAGUUUCUGCCUUUCACAUUUGCCCACACAGACUUCUCUGACUUGGUUCUGUUCUCCUGCUAAUAACACCUGACCGCAUUCCUCUGGCUUCACACCCAUUCAGUGGUUUGAAUUUAGCAUUCUUUCACAUGUGUGAUUUGGGGCAACUCAUAUAGUCUCUGGGAGAUCCAAUUUAAUCGUCUGAGAAAUGCAGACAAUUACAGUAUCAUAUAAAGCUGGUGAGAGAGUUAAAUGAGCUAAAGUAAAUGAAGUAAUACAAACCAUAAAAGAAAAACUUGAUAAAUUGUAUUUCACCAAAAUUAAAAAUUUUACUCUUUGAAAAGUGGUAUUAAGAAAAUGAAAAGGCAAGAUAUAUAAUGGUAAAAUAUUUGAAAUACGUUUAGCUGACAACGGAAUUGUAUCCAAAAUAUAUAAAGUGCUCACGCAACUCAAUAAGAAGAUAAGCUACUAAUUUACAAAAGAUUUGAACAGAUAGAAGAUAAAGGAAUGGCAAAUGAUUAUCUGAAAGAUGCUCAACAUCAUUAAUCAUCAAGAAACUGCAUAUUAAAACCACAAUGAGAUACCACUUUACACCCAUUAGAAUGUCUAUCAUCAAACAGACAGAAAACACGAAGUGUUGGUGAAGAUGUGGAGCAACUGAAACUCUCACACACUGCUUAUGGGAAUACAGAAUUAUACAACCUCUUUGGGAAAACUUUGGCAAUUUCUUAAGAAGUUCAAUAUAAACCAACUAUAGGUCUUAGCCAUUCCACCAAAGGGAUUUACCCCUAAAGAAAUGAACACACACAAGGACAUAAAUGUGAAUGUUCAUUCCAGCUUCAUUUGGAAUAGCUAAAUACUGGAAACAAUCCAAAUGUCCAUCAAUAGAUAAAUAAUGGAUACACAAAACACAAUAUAUCCAUACAAUGGAAUACUACUAAUCUAUAAAAAGGAAUGAUCUGCUUAUACACACAAUAAAAUGAAUGAACUCAAAAUCGUUAUCCUGAGGGAAAGAAAUUAGAUACAAAAGAACACAUAAGGUAGUAUUUCAUUCACAUAAAAUUCUAAAAAAAUGCAUACUAAUCUGCAGUGACAAAAAACAGAUAGCUGGUUGCUUGAGAAAAAGGUAGAGGAAGGAAUGGACUACAAAUGUUCAUGAGGAUCCUUCUGGGGAUGGUGGAAAUAUACUGUCUUGAUGGAUGUGGUAGUUUCACAGAUGUGUACAUCUGUUGUAAUUCAUCAAAGUAUACACUACUAAUGGAUGUGGGUCAUCAUAAGUGAAUUACAGCUCAGCAAAGUUGAUUUAAAAAUAAUAAAAUAAGUGAAGUGCUGAGAUCUCAGCUUGGCUCAGAGUUCUAAAUAUCAGCUGAAUAUUAUUCUUAUUCUCUUUACCACAGUAAUUACUAUCACCCCACCAUUGACAUCUGAUGCUGCCCCAUCUGUGUCUGAUAGCAUGUCUCAGUUCCUUCUUGUGUACAAUGGCUAGGAUAGUAGUAUUAGGCCAAGAGCAGCCCUUCCCGAAUGACUUAAUAAAUCCCUCUCCCUCUUUAGAAGCUGGGUGAGAGGACCAAAUGAUGACAAGUUACAUGAGAAAUUAUACUAUAAAUAUUGGAUUUUAUAGUUUUAUUAUUCUUUGCUUACUCAUCUGAUGCCCCCUCGGCAAGCUAGCACUGUUCACAAUGAAGGGAAAAUAAACGGACCCGGAAACCAUGAAUCCCAAUUUCCUCUGCCCUUGUUAUGGUUCCACCUACCACUAGUGUCUUAGAAUUGGCAGAUUUGAUGGGUAGGAACAGGGUUUGACAUUAAGUGGCUCUGGAUUCAAACUUCAAGUCCACCACUCACAAUCUGUGUGGCCUUCAACUACUCAACAGCUGUUAGACUCAGUUUGUCAUAUAUAAAAUGGGCAUAAUAGUUAAUACCUGAUAUAGUGGUUGUGAGAUUUUAAAAAAAAGGAUAUUGUGGAAUAUAUUGCACGCGUCUUGGGUCUAGUAAACCCACAGCUGACGGUAGCUCCUCUUAUACUCUGCCCUGUGGGCAGGUAGCAUGUGUGUUUGUUUAGUCGUUGAGGGGCCAACCUGGAGACAUGGAUCCAUUUACACCCAGCAGCAGCAGCGUAUAUUGACGUCUUCUCUUUACAUCCGAUUUCCCGACUCUCUGCUUGAGAAGCUGUGUGCUAAAGGUCAAGGUAGAAAAUGGUCUCACUCUACGUUCUCCCCUCACAUUGCAGCUCCAGAUGGCAUCUGAACACUCAUUGGUAAUAAACAGGGAGAUAUUUAAAAUUUUUUUAAAGUCUUCUUUAAUCUACUUGGAUAAUUACCUCAAAAAUAAUAAUAAUUCUGAAUUCUCUCCAUAACCCAUAUGGAAAACCCUAAAAUCAUGAAGAAGAGAGCUGCUAAUUAGCUAUUUUCAUUUUACCUAAAAAGAACAGGACCAAAGACAUUCAGUCAGGAAGCUGAAAUCACAUCUUCAAAAGCAAGGUUGAUUAAGGAAGAAGGGAAGCAAGCAUUUAGGGGCUUGCCGAAAAGAAGCAGGGACUGAGGCAAAUGUUAAUGUGCAAAACGGGCUGAGGCAAAUGAUUCAAAAUCACCCUAAAUUUAGGGAAAUAAAGG